GGAUGAACGCUGGCGGCGUGCUAAUACAUGCAAGUCGAACGAAGAGCCCUUAACCGAAGAUGAUGACGUGCUUGCACUGAAUCUGAUUCACCUUAGGGUUACUGAGUGGCGGACGGGUGAGUAACGCGUGGGUAACCUGCCUUAGACAGGGGGAUAACAUCAAGAAAUUGGUGCUGAUACCGCAUAUGCUCACAGUAUCGCAUGAUACAGUGAGGAAAACUCCGGUGGUCUAAGAUGGACCCGCGUCUGAUUAGCUAGUUGGAGGGGUAACGGCCCACCAAGGCGACGAUCAGUAGCCGACUUGAGAGAGUGAUCGGCCACAUUGGGACUGAGACACGGCCCAAACUCCUACGGGAGGCAGCAGUAGGGAAUAUUGCACAAUGGGGGAAACCCUGAUGCAGCGACGCCGCGUGAAGGAUGAAGUAUUUCGGUAUGUAAACUUCUAUCAGCAAGGAAGAAAAUGACGGUACUUGACUAAGAAGCCCCGGCUAAAUACGUGCCAGCAGCGGC
rnacentral:rRNA from 1 species